CGAGUUUGCCAUCAACCUUGGAGUAAAGAUUCAUUGCCGUGGGAUGGGGAUGCGUCUGAUUAGCUUGUUGGCGGGGCAACGGCCCACCAAGGCAACGAUCAGUAGGGGUUCUGAGAGGAAAGCCCCCCACAUUGGAACUGAGACACGGUCCAAACUCCUACGGGAGGCAGCAGUGAGGAAUAUUGGUCAAUGGGCGAGAGCCUGAACCAGCCAAGUAGCGUGCAGGAAGACGGCCCUAUGGGUUGUAAACUGCUUUUAUGCGGGGAUAAAGCGGGCGACGUGUCGCCCUUUGCAGGUACCGCAUGAAUAAGGACCGGCUAAUUCCGUGCCAGCAGCCGCGGUAAUACGGAAGGUCCGGGCGUUAUCCGGAUUUAUUGGGUUUAAAGGGAGCGCAGGCCGGGUAUUAAGCGUGUUGUGAAAUGUAGGCGCCCAACGUCUGCACCGCAGCGCGAACUGGUGCCCUUGAGUACGCACGACGUUGGCGGAAUUCGCCGUGUAGCGGUGAAAUGCUUAGAUAUGGCGAAGAACUCCGAUUGCGAAGGCAGCUGACGGGAGCGCUACUGACGCUCAUGCUCGGAAGCGCGGGUAUCGAACAGGAUUAGAUACCCUGGUAGUCCGCGCGGUAAACGAUGGAUGCCCGCUAUUUGCGCGUUAGCGCAAGUGGCCAAGUGAAAACGUUAAGCAUCCCACCUGGGGAGUACGCCGGCAACGGUGAAACUCAAAUGAAUUGACGGAAGGGCGAAUUCG
rnacentral:rRNA from 1 species